rnacentral:rRNA from 1 species
CCUACGGGUGGCAGCAGUGGGGAAUAUUGGACAAUGGGGGGAACCCUGAUCCAGCGACGCCGCGUGAGUGAAGAAGUAUUUCGGGAUGUAAAGCUCUAUCAGCAGGGACGAAAGAAAUGACGGUACCUGACUAAGAAGCCCCGGCUAACUACGUGCCAGCAGCCGCGGUAAUACGUAGGGGGCAAGCGUUAUCCGGAUUUACUGGGUGUAAAGGGCGUGUAGACGGCGAUGCAAGUCUGAAGUGAAAGGCGGGGGCCCAACCCCCGGACUGCUUUGGAAACUGUAUGGCUGGAGUGCAGGAGAGGCAAGCGGAAUUCCUAGUGUAGCGGUGAAAUGCGUAGAUAUUAGGAGGAACACCAGUGGCGAAGGCGGCUUACUGGACUGCAACUGACGUUGAGGCUCGAAAGCGUGGGGAGCAAACAGGAUUAGAUACCCGAGUAGUC